UUGGCAGGCAGAAUAGGGCUGGACCAAUUUGGGGGAAUAACACGUAGUUAGAUGAGGUAAAUAGAAUGUUAAUGGUUUAAUACAUUCAUCUUACUUCCAGAUUUGCGAUCCAAUACAAUUUGUUGGCAAACUAUACGUAUGUUAUAAAUAAUUAAACAGAUACGAUGUCACAGUGCAAGCAAGAUAAAUCGUGAUUCAAGGGAAUUGCGUGUGGAGGUUAAGCCGUCGGCUGGACCUAGGGGGGUUGCUACAGAGAAUUACGUUUGAGGGUAAGCCAUCGGCUGGACUGGGGGUUGUUGCCGCAGCGACUCUCUCCCACUCCACUCAGAUAGAGAGAGGGGUAGUCGGCCGUGACGUCACCGUUCGGUAGUCUUUGCAGUCGGGAGCCCUUGACGCGUUCCCGACUAAGGUUCAGUCUGCUAUACCCGGAGACAAGGACUACGGACCCAGGAUCAACUGUAUAUAGAUAAACCUGCGUGAUAGGAUAUAGAACACUGAAUAAAUGCAAAUGUUAGAAA